GUGGGGAAUAUUGGACAAUGGGGGCAACCCUGAUCCAGCCAUGCCGCGUGAAUGAUGAAGGCCUUCGGGUUGUAAAGUUCUUUUGGAGGGGACGAUGAUGACGGUACCCUCAGAAUAAGCUCCGGCUAACUUCGUGCCAGCAGCCGCGGUAAUACGAAGGGAGCUAGCGUUGUUCGGAAUUACUGGGCGUAAAGGGCGCGUAGGCGGUUUGGUUAGUCAGAUGUGAAAGCCCAGGGCUUAACCCUGGAACUGCGUUUGAUACUGCCAAGCUUGAAUUCGGGAGAGGUGAGUGGAAUUCCCAGUGUAGAGGUGAAAUUCGUAGAUAUUGGGAAGAACACCGGUGGCGAAGGCGGCCACCUGGACAGGUACUGACGCUGAGGCGCGAAAGCGUGGGGAGCAAACAGGAUUAGAAACCCUUGUAGUCC
rnacentral:rRNA from 1 species